GACGAACGCUGGCGGCGUGCUUAACACAUGCCAGUCGAACGGAAAGGCCCUGCUUUUGUGGGGUGCUCGAGUGGCGAACGGGUGAGUAACACGUGAGUAACCAGCCCUUGACUUUGGGAUAACUUCAGGAAACUGGGGCUAAUACCGGAUAGGAGCUCCUGCUGCAUGGUGGGGGUUGGAAAGUUUCGGCGGUUGGGGAUGGACUCGCGGCUUAUCAGCUUGUUGGUGGGGUAGUGGCUUACCAAGGCUUUGACGGGUAGCCGGCCUGAGAGGGUGACCGGCCACAUUGGGACUGAGAUACGGCCCAGACUCCUACGGGAGGCAGCAGUGGGGAAUAUUGCACAAUGGGCGGAAGCCUGAUGCAGCAACGCCGCGUGCGGGAUGACGGCCUUCGGGUUGUAAACCGCUUUCGCCUGUGACGAAGCGUGAGUGACGGUAAUGGGUAAAGAAGCACCGGCUAACUACGUG
rnacentral:rRNA from 1 species